UUCUGGGAAUCUGGUGCUCAGAACUGUGUUAUGUGAGACCUGGAAUGAGAUGAAUGUUGGAAAUCCUGUGUUCCUAAAACAGUGUUGGGAAUAGGACUCUGAGCCAAAGCUUUGGCCACUUCCUUAUAGCAAUCACUGUAGAAAUGCAUAAGGCACAAUUAAUGGAAGAUACAACCUCCUGCAUCCCUCCUUACAUCCUUCAACCGGUCCUGCGACAUCUCAAAGAUUCCUUGAUACUGUACAAUAACAGGGAGGCUGAUGGUGCUGCACAUGAUAGUGCUCCAGAAAUGGCCCUGUUUCUGCACCAAAUGUUGCCAAAAGGAGCAGCAAACAUCUAUUCAGUCUUCAAGUACUGAUAUCUUGCACAGUUUUG